UACGAAGGGGGGCUAGCGUUGCUCGGAAUCACUGGGCGUAAAGCGCACGUAGGCGGAUUGUUAAGUCAGGGGUGAAAUCCUGGAGCUCAACUCCAGAACUGCCUUUGAUACUGGCGAUCUCGAGUCCCGGAGAGGAAGGUGGAAUUCCUGGUGUAGCGGUGAAAUGCGUAGAUAUCAGGAGGAAUACCGGUGGCGAAGGCGGCCUUCUGGACGGUGACUGACGCUGAGACGCGAAAGCGUGGGGAGCAAACAGG
rnacentral:rRNA from 1 species